rnacentral:rRNA from 1 species
GAUGAACGCUGGCGGCGUGCCUAAUACAUGCAAGUCGAGCGAACGGACGAGAAGCUUGCUUCUCUGAUGUUAGCUGCGGACGGGUGAGUAACACGUGGAUAACCCACCUAUAAGACUGGGAUAACUUCGGGAAACCGGAGCUAAUACCGGAUAAUAUUUUGAACCGCUUGGUUCAAAAGUGAAAGACGGUCUUGCUGUCACUUAUCGAUGGAUCCGCGCAGCUUUAGCUAGUUGGUAAGGUAACGGCUUACCAAGGCAACGGUGCAUAGCCGACCUGAGAGGGGGCUCUGCCACACUGGAACGAAGACCAGGUCCAGACCCCUGCGGGUGGCAGCGGUAGGGAAUCGUGCGUAGUGCGCGAAGACCUGACGGAGCAACGCCGCAUGAGGUAUGAGGGUCUUCGGCUCGUAAAACUCUGUUAUUAGGGAAGAACAUAUGUGUAAGUACAUGUGCACAUCUUGACGAUACCUAAUCAGAAAGCCAGCGCUGACUACGUG